AGAGUUUGAUCAUGGCUCAGAGCAAACGCUGGCGGCGUGCCUAAUACAUGCAAGUCGAACGGGUAUUUGGCUUCGGUCAAAUACUAGUGGCGCACGGGUGAGUAACACGUGGGUAAUCUGCCUUCGAGUGGGGAACAACUUUCCGAAAGGAAAGCUAAUACCGCAUAAGACCACAGGAUCUGCGGAUCCAGAGGUUAAAGUAGCAAUACGCUUGAAGAUGAGCCCGCGCAAGAUUAGCUAGUUGGUGAGGUAAUGGCUCACCAAGGCUACGAUCUUUAGCUGGUCUGAGAGGAUGAUCAGCCACACUGGAACUGAGACACGGUCCAGACUCCUACGGGAGGCAGCAGUAGGGAAUAUUGCGCAAUGGGGGAAACCCUGACGCAGCGACGCCGCGUGAGUGAUGAAGGCCUUCGGGUUGUAAAGCUCUGUUACAAGGGAAAAAGUUCUGAUUGUACUUUGUGAGAAAGGGACGGCUAACUUCGUGCCAGCAGCCGCGGUAAGACGAGGGCCCCUAGCGUUGCUCGGAAUCAUUGGGCGUAAAGCGGGUGUAGGAGGCUUUUUAAGUCAGAUGUGAAAUCCCAAGGCUCAACCUUGGACGUGCAUUUGAUACUGGAAAGCUUGAGUGCUAGAGAGGUCACUGGAAUUCCUGGUGUAGUGGUGAAAUACGUAGAUAUCAGGAGGAAUACCGGAGGCGAAGGCGGGUGACUGGCUAGACACUGACUCUGAGACCCGAAAGCGUGGGGAUCAAACAGGAUUAGAUACCCUAGUAGUCC
rnacentral:rRNA from 1 species